UACGGAGGGUGCAAGCGUUAUCCGGAUUCACUGGGUUUAAAGGGUGCGUAGGCGGCCGCAUAAGUCAGCGGUGAAACCCACGGGCUCAACCCGUGGAGUGCCGUUGAUACUGUGCGGCUUGGGUCGUCUCUGGGCGGGCGGAAUGGAUGGUGUAGCGGUGAAAUGCAUAGAUAUCAACCAGAACGCCGAUAGCGAAGGCAGCUCGCUGGGGACGUACCGACGCUGAGGCACGAUAGCGUGGGGAUCAAACAGG
rnacentral:rRNA from 1 species